rnacentral:rRNA from 1 species
GGGGGGGGGGGGGGGGGGGGGGGGGGGGGGGGGGGGGGGGGGGGGGGCCCGGGGGUGGUGGGGGGCGCGGGUGGCGGAGGGGUGAGUAAGACGGGCGUGGCCUGCGCUUGACGUUGGGCUGACUUCAGGACGCUGGGGGUAAUGCCGGGUCGGCGGUCCGGUUGCAUGGUGGGGCGUGGCACGGUUCGGCGGUUGGCGAUGUACUCGCGGCGUAUCAGCUUGCUGGUGGGGUAGUGGCUUACCAACGCCUUGACGCGUAGCCGGCCUGAGAGGGUGACCGGCCACAUUGGGACUGCGAUACGGCACAGACUCCUACGGGAGGCAGCAGUGGGGAAUAUUGCACAAUGGGCGGAAGCCUGAGGCAGCAACGCCGCGUGCGGGAUGACGGCCUUCGGGUUGGAAACCGCUUUCGCCUGUGACGAAGCGUGAGUGACGGGAAUGGGGAAAGAAGCACCGGCUAACUACGU